CGGUUAUACCAAGUGAUUAAGUUAUAUUUUUAGGUAAAAAGACAGUUAGGUUUAUAGGAAUUGAUUUUAGUUUAUUAAACAUUUAUAAAAAAGUAAAAUUUGCAUAUAGAUAGCUAAUCUAAAGAUAACUAUAUAUACUGAAGCUGUGAUAGUCUUGAGGGAAACUGGGAUUAGAUACCCCAUUAUUCUUGAUUGUAAAUAUAAUUAAAUUUACCAGAGUACUAUGAAUAGUUAAAAAUUUAAAACUCAAAGGGCUUGGCGGUGUUUUAGACCUAUCAGGGGAACCUGUCUCAUAAUCGACAAUCCACGUAAUAUCUAACCUUAUUUUGUAAACAGUUUGUAUACCGUCGUCGUCAGGUAACUUUUAAAAAUAUAGAAGUUAGCAAUUAAAACUUAUUAAUUAAAACGUCAGAUCAAGGUGCAGCCUAUAGUAAGGAGAGGAUGGGUUACAAUUAUAAAAAUUAUAAUUAACGGAAAUUUAAAUGAAACAUUAUUUUGAAGGAGGACUUGAAAGUAAACUAAAAUACAUAAAUAGUUUGAAUGAGGCUCUG
rnacentral:rRNA from 1 species